rnacentral:rRNA from 1 species
UUCCGGUUGAUCCUGCCGGACUAGAGUUAAGUUGGAGUGGGCGGAAUGUGUUGUGUAGCGGUGAAAUGCUUAGAUAUAACACAGAACACCGAUCGCGAAGGCAGCUCACUAAACUUAGACUGACGCUCAUGCACGAAAGCGUGGGGAUCAAACAGGAUUAGAUACCCUGGUAGUCCACGCUGUAAACGAUGAUCACUCGCUGUUGGCGAUAUACAGUCAGUGGCUAAGCGAAA